GGUGAGAUGGCCGAGCGGUCUAAGGCGCCAGACUAAGGACCAAAGCAGUUGCUGCUUUCUCAUCUGGUCCGAAAGGGCGUGGGUUCGAAUCCCACUCUCAUCA